UACGUAGGGGGCUAGCGUUGUCCGGAAUCAUUGGCGUAAAGAGCGUGUAGGCGGCUUGGUAGGUCCGCUGUGAAACUCGAGGCUCAACCUCGAGAUGUCGGCGGAAACCACUUGGCUAGAGUCCGGAAGAGGAGAGUGGAAUUCCUGGUGUAGCGGUGAAAUGCGCAGAUAUCAGGAAGAACACCUAUGGCGAAGGCAGCCUCUGUGGGACGGUACUGACGCUGAGAGCGAAAGCGUGGGGAGCGAACAGG
rnacentral:rRNA from 1 species